rnacentral:ncRNA from 1 species
AAUAUUAUGAUAAUAGUGUGUCAUUUUUUCCAUAUAAGGACAUUGUAAUCUAUUAGCAUACAAAAUUUAUCAUAAAAUAUGGCUUAUAGUUUAUUUAAAUUAAAAUGCUUGCGUUUUAACACAAAAUAAAUGUCAUUAAUUUGAUAAAGUGCUGAUAGAUUUAUAUGAUUACAGUGCGUUAAUUUUUCGGAAUUAUAUAAUGGCAUAAUUAUCAAUGAUUUUUGUGUUUAUUAUAUGCACUUGUAUGAUUAACAAUGCGAAAGAUUCAGGAUACCUUCGGGACCCGUCUUGAAACACGGACCAAGGAGUCUAACAUAUGUGCAAGUUAUUGGGAUAUAAACCUAAUAGCGUAAUUAACUUGACUAAUAAUGGGAUUAGUUUUUUAACUAUUUAUAGUUAAUUAACACAAUCCCGGGGCGUUCUAUAUAGUUAUGUAUAAUGAUAUUUAUAUUAUUUAUGCCUCUAACUGGAACGUACCUUGAGCAUAUAUGCUGUGACCCGAAAGAUGGUGAACUAUACUUGAUCAGGUUGAAGUCAGGGGAAACCCUGAUGGAAGACCGAAACAGUUCUGACGUGCAAAUCGAUUGUCAGAAUUGAGUAUAGGGGCGAAAGACCAAUCGAACCAUCUAGUAGCUGGUUCCUUCCGAAGUUUCCCUCAGGAUAGCUGGUGCAUUUUAAUAUUAUAUAAAAUAAUCUUAUCUGGUAAAGCGAAUGAUUAGAGGCCUUAGGGUCGAAACGAUCUUAACCUAUUCUCAAACUUUAAAUGGGUAAGAACCUUAACUUUCUUGAUAUGAAGUUUAAGGUUAUGAUAUAAUGUGCCACUUUUGGUAAGCAGAACUGGCGCUGUGGGAUGAACCAAACGUAAUGUUACGGUGCCCAAAUUAACAACUCAUGCAGAUACCAUGAAAGGCGUUGGUUGCUUAAAACAGCAGGACGGUGAUCAUGGAAGUCGAAAUCCGCUAAGGAGUGUGUAACAACUCACCUGCCGAAGCAACUAGCCCUUAAAAUGGAUGGCGCUUAAGUUGUAUACCUACACAUUACCGCUAAAGUAGAUGAUUUAUAUUACUUGUAAUAUAAAUUUUGAAACUUUAGUGAGUAGGAAGGUACAAUGGUAUGCGUAGAAGUGUUUGGCGUAAGCCUGCAUGGAGCUGCCAUUGGUACAGAUCUUGGUGGUAGUAGCAAAUAAUCGAAUGAGACCUUGGAGGACUGAAGUGGAGAAGGGUUUCGUGUGAACAGUGGUUGAUCACGAGUUAGUCGGUCCUAAGUUCAAGGCGAAAGCCGAAAAUUUUCAA